UGGGCAACCUGCCCCAGACACAGGGAUAAACCCCGGGAAACCGGGGCUAAUACCGGAUACUCCGGUCGAGCCGCAUGGCUCGAUCGGGAAAGCUCCGACGGUCUGGGAUGGGCCCGCGGCCUAUCAGCUUGUUGGUGGGUAACGGCCUACCAAGGCGACGACGGGUAGCUGGUCUGAGAGGACGACCAGCCACACUGGAACUGAGAUACGGUCCAGACUCCUACGGGA
rnacentral:rRNA from 1 species